rnacentral:lncRNA from 1 species
AGUAUAGUUGUUUUACAGUGUUGUGUCAAUUCUGCUAUAUACCAUAGUGACCUAUAUAUAUAGGUCUUUUCUCACUUUUUUCAUACUAUCUUCCAUCAUGUUCUAGCCCAAGAGAUUGGAUACGGUUCCCAGUGCAAUACUGUAGGACCUCACUGUUUAUCCAUUCUAAAUGUAAUAGUUUGCAUCUACUUUAAAAACAGACUUUCCCUGUUUUUAGACCCACCUGCACUCCAUCUGUGUCGGGCGGGGGGGGGGGGGGUCCUGGUGCCUCAAAUCCCUGAGACUGUCCGGGCUUCUGUGGAUGGGGAUGACUCCUAAACACAUCCGGUUUGCUCCUACCUGAUAUGAAUCAAUUUUUGCUUAAAUUAACUCUUAAAUUUAAAAAAAUAAAUAGGAAUGGGAUCAAGAUGGCAGAGGAAUAAGACAUGGCACUCACCUUCUCCCACAAAUAUAUCAAAAAAACCAUUGGCACAAAACAUUUACUAAAUGCUGGCAGAAGACCCUAGACCUCCAAAAGGGGCAAGAAACCGUCCACAUAACUAGGUAGAACAAAGGAAAAAAGAGGGGGCAGGGGAAGGAAUCAGGAGAGGACCAGCAUUCCUGAGAGGAAGCUGUGAAAGAUGAAAGGAAUCUGUACUCUGGGAGGCCAACUAACUGAUAGGGAGAUCAGCUAGGAUGGAGAAGGAAACUCAAAGCCUUGGAGAAAAGCACAGCAGCCAGACCGAGGAGGGCAAAGCAGAGAGAGGCACACAGACCAUUGGUACCACCAGCUGGGUCACCACAGCCUGAGACACUACAGCAGGGGCUGGGUGCUGAGACUCAGGCUUCAGAGGUCAGCUCCAGGGAGGGGACUAGGCAUGGCUGUGUGGAGACAACCUGAGGGGCUAGGGAGUGGUGCACCAUGGCCUGAGGGGUGAAGUGCCACAGCCAAACACGCAUGGGAGGAAGCAAGAAUCGCAGGAGAAGUAAGGUGCCAUUGUUGGGGAAGGGGAGGGGAGGAGGGCAGGUACCACCAUAGAAAUAUCUGUCUAUGCACAUGCUCAGGCUCUUGACAGGAAAAAAGAGGGGGCAGGGGAAGGAAUCAGGAGAGGACCAGCAGUGCAGUCUGUGGAUGGCAGGUGCAUACCCGCCAUAGCCAUCUCAGUCUCUAAUGGCGGGCACAGCCUGCCAUCACUAGGGAUCUGUGAACAGGCACCGCCUGUGGUCCUAGUCACCUCAGGGGUGGCGCAGAGGAGGGCAAUUCAACCAAACACCACCCAUUACCCUCACUCCCCUGGAAAUGCACAUGCCCUGAUGUUGCUGCUGCCAGAGGCACUGCCUAUACCUUCCUGAGGGUCACUACCACUGCCAAGGGCCGUGCAGCCAGGAGCAGACUGUACCACAUGCCUCCGAGUCCUUACCACUGUCAAGGGCCCAUCAAUCAGGCACUGGCUACAGGCCCUGCCCACUGCUUCCCUCUCCCUGGAAGCAUAUGCAGGCUGCACACUGGCACAACCACUAUCAAGGGGAUAAGAGCCUGCACACAUGGAGGAAAAAGAUAGCAAGCAUCAAAACCAAAAGCAGCCCACAUGCCAAAAAAAAAAAAAAAAAAAAGUUAGCCCUCACAAGCUACCCAGGGGUGCUCUUGCAUCUAAAUAGCCCUCCAAGACUACAGUAGAUAACUGUCUUCCUUAAGCACAGAAUAAGAAAAAUAGAAGCAAAUGGAAGAAGCUCAGGAACAGGAUAAUUCCGCUGAAGGGGCAAAUAAGGAAUUAGACCUCUGCAGUCUAAUAGACACUGAGUUCAAAAAGAAGGUAAUGAAAAUAUUAAGGAAUUAAGAGCAGAUAUGAACAGUAAUGCAGAUUACUUUAAAAAGGAACUAGAAACUAUAAGGAAGAGGCAAGAAAAAUUAGAAAAUUCAUUUGCAGAAACCUGAGCUGAGUUAAAGGCAUUGAAGAGCAGAAUGAAUAAUGCAGGGGAAUAAAGAAGUGAUUCAGAAGACAGAAUAAUGGAACUCACCCAAUCAAUGCAGCAGAGAGAACACCAAAAUGAAAAAACAUGAAAGGAUUAUAAAAGAUCUAUGGGAUAAUAUAAAGCAGGCCAUCUACACAUAAUAGAAAUUCCAGAAGAAAAAGAAAAGGGGAUUGAAAAUAUAUUUGAAGAAAUCAUGGCUGAAAUUUUUCCAAAUCUAAAGGAAAUAGAUAUCAAGAUACAGGAAAAAAUAGAGGGCUCCAAACAAGUUGAACCCAGACAGACUUACACCAAGACAUAAUAAAAAUGGCAAAAAUUAAAGGAGAGGAUUCUAAAGCCAGCAAGAGAAAAACAAAAUAAUUAAUUAUAAAGGAACCCCCAGAAGGCUAUCAGCUAAUUUUUCAACAGAAACAAUAUAGGCCAAGUGAGUAGCAAGAUACAUUCAAAGUUCUAAAAGAGAAAAGUUUGUAACCUGGAAUACAUUACUCAGCAAGAUUAUCAUCUAAUAUAGAAGGAGAAACAAAGAAUUUCUCAGACAAACAAAAACUAAAAGAAUACAGCAAUACUAAACCUAUUCUAAAAGAAAUAUCGAGGAGAAGGAUCAAUAUGGCAAAGGAGUAAGGUGUUGCACGCUCAUCUUCUCCCACAAACAUUAAAAAAAACACAUCUACAUGUAGAACAAUUUGCACUGAACAUCUACUGAAUGCUGGCAGAAGAACUUAAACCUCCAAAAAGGGCAAGAAACCCUCCACAUAACUGGGUAGAACAAAAGAAAAAAGAGAGAGAAAGAAAAGGAAUCAAGAUGGAACUAGCACACUGGGAACUGUGAAAGUGAAAAGGAGCCCCCACCCUGGGAAGCCACCUUAUGGAUGGGGAGAUCAGACAAGACAGAGGGACCUCAAAUUCACCAAGAAAAGUGCAGUGAAGGACGGCAAAGCAGAGUGAGAGCAGAACAGAUCAUAUGCACCACCGCCAAGAUACAGCAGCCUGAGAUGCUUGGGCGGGCGCUGGGUGCUGAGACUCGGUCUAGAGGUCAGUUCCAGGGACAGGACUAGGGUUGGCCAUGUGGAGACAACCUUAGGGGCUAGGCAGCAGUGUGCCACAGUCUGGGGAGCAGAAUGCCACAGUCAAGGGAACCGGGAGGAGGUCUGGGCCCACAGGAAAAGUAAGGCACCACUGUUGGUGAGGGCACGAGGACAAGGGGCGGACCACCAUAGGAAUCUCUUUCCCUGCCCACACACAGGCUCUCAGAGUGUGGGGUGUCUCUGGCAUAGGCUAUGGGUGGCAAGAGGCCACUUGCUCAGGCUAUGAGGGGACCAGGUGCCUAUUGGAUGGGCUACGGGUGGCUGGGCACCUCUUGUGUGGGCUAAGGGCAGCGGGGGGCUAAGCAUGAUGUGCCACCUCUUAUGUGACCUACAGGUGGCAGGGAUAAGCCACAGAAGUCAUCUCAAGAGGGGACGUAGCCCACCACCACUAGGGGUCUGUGAACAGGCUCCACCUGUGGCCCCAGUCAUCUCAGAAGUUGGCAAAAAAAGAGGACACUACAACUGACCAGCACCCGUUGAUGCUCUCACUCCUUUGGGAACACACCCACCCUGCUGUUGCCACGGCCAAACGGUCUGGGCAGUGCCCAUACAUGCACACACAUUACUUUCCAGGACCCUACAACUAGGGUCCUGUGCAGCAACUCCUGCAUGGGCUAAGCAGGACAGGGUGCUUAUGUGGUCUACAGGUGGCAGUGGUAAACCACCGCAGUUAUCUUUGACUCCAGAGGUCGGUGUGGCCUGCCACCACUAGGGGCCCAUGAACAGGCACAACUUGCAGCUGCAAUUGCCUCAGAGGGCACCACAAAGGAGGGCACUGCAACCAAACUCCACCACCCCUUGUUGCUCUCACUUCCCUAGGAACUCACACACACUGCCACUGCCAAAUGCUCUGGGCAUGCCUAAAUCUGCCUGAGGCUCAUCACCACUUCCCAGGGCUCUGCAACUUGGAGUAGCCUAUGCCACCUUCCUGCAGGUCCUUGCUACUGUUAAGGGUGCAGCAACCUGGCACUGACUAUUAGCCCUGCCCAUUGCCUUCUUCUCCCUGAAAACACAUUCAGCACCCCAUCAAGGGGAUAUACUAUUCACACUGAAGAAAGAGACAGCAAAUAUCCAAAUUCCCAUGCCAAAAAUAAACAGUAACCCCCCACAAAAUACAAAGGGGUACUCUUGCAUAGAAAUAGCCCUCCAAGACUACAGUAGUUGGUUUCCCUAAACUCACAGAAAAAGAAAAGUAUAAGAGAAGUGAGUAAGCUCAGAAACCAUUCCCAGUUAAAACAAACCAACAAACAAACAAAAAAAACAACAGAGUUCACCUGAAGGAGCAAACAAUGAAACAGACCUGUGCAGUCUGAUAGACACUGAGUUCAAAAGGGAUAUACUGAAAAUAAUGAAGGAACUAAGGGUGCAUAUGAAGGAAUUAGAGCAGAUAUGAACAGUAAUGCAGAUUCAUUUAGAAAGGAACUAGAAAAUAUAAGGAGGAACCAAGAAAUAUUAGAAAAUUCAUUUGCAGAAAUGCAAACGGAGUUAAAGGCAUUAAAGAACAGAAUGAAUAAUGCAGAGGAACGAAUUAGUGACUUGGAAGAUAGAAUAAUGGAAAUCACCCAAUUAGAACACCGCAAAGAAAACCAAAUGAAAAAAUAUGAAAGCAAUAUAGGAGAUUCAUGGAAUAAUAUAAACCAGGCCAAUAUACACAUAAUAGGGAUUCCAGAAGGAGAAGAAAUAGAAAAAGGGAUCAAAAAUAUAUUUGAAGAAAUUAUGGCUGAAAACUUUCCAAAUUUAAAGAAAACAGAUAUCAAGAUACAUGAAGUGGAGUUCCUGUCAUGGCUCAGUGGUUAAUGAAUCCGCCUAGGAACCAUGAGGUUGCGGGUUCGAUCCCUGGCCUUGCUCAGUGGGUUAAGGAUCCAGCGUUGCCAUGAGCUGUAGUGUAGGUCGCAGAUGCAGCUCGGAUCCUGCAUUGCUGUGGCUCAGGCGUAGGCUGGUGGCUACAGCUCCAAUCCAACCCCCAGCCUGGGAACCACCACAUGCCA